UCAGUUCGGAUCGGAGUCUGCAACCCGACUCCAUGAAGCUGGAUUCGCUAGUAAUCGCGCAUCAGCCACGGCGCGGUGAAUACGUUCCCGGGCCUUGUACACACCGCCCGUCAAGCCAUGGAAGCCGGGGGUGCCUGAAGUGCGCUGCCGCGAGGAGCGCCCUAGGGUAAAACCGGUGACUGGGGCUAAGUCGUAACAAGGUAAC
rnacentral:rRNA from 1 species